AUUGAACGCUGGCGGCAUGCCUUACACAUGCAAGUCGAACGGCAGCGGGGGAGAAGCUUGCUUUUCCUGCCGGCGAGUUGCGAACGGGUGAGUAAUACAUCGGAACGUGCCCUGUAGUGGGGGAUAACUAGUCGAAAGAUUAGCUAAUACCGCAUACGACCUGAGGGUGAAAGUGGGGGACCGCAAGGCCUCAUGCUAUAGGAGCGGCCGAUGUCUGAUUAGCUAGUUGGUGGGGUAAAGGCCUACCAAGGCGACGAUCAGUAGCUGGUCUGAGAGGACGAUCGACCACCCUGGGACUGGGACACGGCCCAGACUCCUACGGGAGGCAGCAGUGGGGAAUUUUGGAUAAUGGGCGAAAGCCUGAUCCAGCAAUGCCGCGUGUGUGAAGAAGGCCUUCGGGUUGUAAAGCACUUUUGUCCGGAAAGAAAUGGCUCUGGUUAAUACCUGGGGUCGAUGACGGUACCGGAAGAAUAAGGACCGGCUAACUACGUGCCAGCCGCCGCCGUAA
rnacentral:rRNA from 1 species